UAGAUUCUCAGCUAUCACAAUGGGAUUCUCAAACAAAUAAACCUGUAACUAAAAUAUCCUUUGGACAUUUUCCACUUUCAUUCUCAGCAUCCUCGCAUUCUGGGAAGAGCCUGAAAGAUAUUUUUCUUAAUCAUUCCAUAUCAGCUUAUUUGUGUGGGCAUCUUCAUGCUAGGUUUGGUAAGAAUUUAAAACGGCACCACCAGUCAACGUCAAGUCAAAACCUUUUGUCCUUGCAGAAAUUUUUUCAGUUAAAUAUGCAACAAAUACCUUCAGGAAGUGCAAAAAACUGUUCAUUUGGAGCUCCAUCAGCUGAGGAGUUCUGGGAGUGGGAGAUGGGUGACUGGAGGAAAAGUAGAGCCAUGCGGAUU
rnacentral:misc_RNA from 1 species